rnacentral:rRNA from 1 species
UACGUAGGGGGCAAGCGUUGUCCGGAAUCAUUGGGCGUAAAGAGCGCGUAGGCGGCCCGGUAAGUCCGCUGUGAAAGUCAAGGGCUUAACCCUUGAAUGCCGGUGGAAACUGCCGGGCUGGAGUCCGGAAGAGGCGAGUGGAAUUCCUGGUGUAGCGGUGAAAUGCGCAGAUAUCAGGAGGAACACCAAUGGCGAAGGCAGCUCGCUGGGACGGUACUGACGCUGAGGCGCGAAAGCGUGGGGAGCGAACAGG